ACUCAAAUGAAUAGACGGGGGCCCGCACAAGCGGCGGAGCAUGUUGCUUAAUUCGAUGCAACGCGAAGAACCUUACCUAGGCUUGACAUGCACGGAAAAGCCGUGGAAACACGGUGUCCUUCGGGGUCGUGCGCAGGUGGUGCAUGGCUGUCGUCAGCUCGUGUCGUGAGAUGUUGGGUUAAGUCCCGCAACGAGCGCAACCCUUGUCCUAUGUUGCCAGCGGGUAAUGCCGGGGACUCGUAGGAGACUGCCGGGGUCAACUCGGAGGAAGGUGGGGAUGACGUCAAGUCAUCAUGCCCCUUAUGUCUAGGGCUGCAAACAUGCUACAAUGGCCGGUACAAAGGGCUGCGAUCUCGCGAGGGUGAGCGAAUCCCAUAAAGCCGGUCUCAGUUCGGAUCGUAGUCUGCAACUCGACUGCGUGAAGGUGGAGUCGCUAGUAAUCGCAGAUCAGCAUUGCUGCGGUGAAUACGUUCCCGGGCCUUGUACACACCGCCCGU
rnacentral:rRNA from 1 species